CAAGAGCCCAAUUACUAUAAGAACUAUGUCACUCAUGACAGAGAACAGGUCACCACAGAGAAUUGAGUAGAGUUCCUGAGCUAUACAUUUCCGAGGAUCAGAAGUCCAGCCCACAGUAGCUGGAUUCUCUAUGCUGGAACUCACAAACUGAAAUCAAGGUGUCAGCAAGCUGCAUCUGGAGGCUUGACUAAGGAAAGAGCUGCUUCCAAGCUCCCUCAACCUGUUGGCAGAAUUCAUUUUCUUGCAGCUGUAUGACCUCUGUCCACAUUUUCCUUCCGUUAGCCAGAGAUCACUCUCCGCUCUUCCAGGCUGCCCACAGC